GGGGUUGUGGCUCAGUGGUGGAGCACUUGCCUAGCAUGCAUGAGGCACUGGGUUCAAUCCCCAGCACCUA
rnacentral:tRNA from 1 species